rnacentral:rRNA from 1 species
GACAGAGGUGGCAAGCGUUGUUCGGAAUUACUGGGCGUAAAGGGCGCGUAGGCGGCCUUCUAAGUCGAACGUGAAAUCCCCGGGCUCAACCCGGGAACUGCGUCCGAUACUGGGAGGCUUGAAUCCGGGAGAGGGAUGUGGAAUUCCAGGUGUAGCGGUGAAAUGCGUAGAUAUCUGGAGGAACACCGGUGGCGAAGGCGGCAUCCUGGACCGGUAUUGACGCUGAGGCGCGAAAGCCAGGGGAGCAAACGGG